rnacentral:rRNA from 1 species
UACAGAGGUCUCAAGCGUUGUUCGGAUUCAUUGGGCGUAAAGGGUGCGUAGGCGGCGCGGUAAGUCGGGUGUGAAAUCUCGGAGCUUAACUCCGAAACUGCAUUCGAUACUGCCGUGCUUGAGGACUGGAGAGGAGACUGGAAUUUACGGUGUAGCGGUGAAAUGCGUAGAUAUCGUAAGGAAGACCAGUGGCGAAGGGCGGGUCUCUGGGCCAUUACUGACGCUGAGGAGCGAAAGCGUGGGGAGCGAACAGG